rfam:Tuber melanosporum whole genome shotgun sequence assembly, scaffold_274, strain Mel28
GUGUUCGGCCAUUAAACGGUGAAAGCUACGCAUCCCGUCCGCUCCGCGGUAGAUAAGUAUCCUAUCGUCCGGUUAGUACUACAGUGGGGUGCCAUGUAGGAAUCCCGGAUACUGAACCCU